rnacentral:lncRNA from 10 species
GAUAAAGGCCGUGGAGGGGUGCAGACAAGGAAAGGGAACCAGGAGGUGUACUUGCAAACUUGACCUACUAAAGGCAUGGCUUCCAGAGCUCUGAGGACAGUUGACCUUCAAAACAACGAUUGACCUUGGGGAAAGGAUGAGUCACAGAGGCUCCAGGGCCUGGUUCCUGCUGGCAGAGCUUCCAGCCUCUGAGUCCCAGAGUGUUCUCUCCUAGGAGUGAAACAUGUACUUGGUAGAUGUCGGCUGCCUCCACCAAAUGCAAAAACGCAUCUCAUCCUGUGAGCUGACCUUGCUGGGGGCACCGUCUGGGAGUCGUUUUUGAUUAGAAGUUGACCUCAGAAAUAUGCUCACAUCAUUUUGAAAGCAUCUUCCAGCACCACAGAAAUCGACUCAGAUGGAGAAAGGACACUGAGUGGACAGGGGCCAGGAUGGGGCGUGGACGCUCUGCCUCUGCCGGGGACAAGGCCUUCCCACAGACUCCCUGGGGUGUUGCCAGCCUGAGUCAGAGAUAUUGAUGUAAUGCCUACCGUGUUCCAGACACGCUGCGAGGCCCUGGGGAUGCAGCCACAAUCCCAACAGAUCUGAUGCCUGCUCUCAUGGAACUGACUUUGCACUGGGGGGAGGCCAACUCCACGAAAACAGAAACUGGAUGACACAUUGGAGGGAGAGCAGUAAAAGGAGCAAGCAGAGAGCAAGAACAACAGUGUUGCCAUGGGGCGGGUGGGCCCGCUGUAGCCAGGGAGGGCCUCUCCGAAGGUAUAACAGUGCCUUGCUGAAUUCACUCCCACGACCCCUCCAUGCUUGGGUCAGGAUGCAUGAACCUGAAAGCACAUGAAGUCCUCUCUGGGAUCUUCUGCCUUUGGUCCUAACUGUUCUCAGGGGGAAGCGACUCUGAAGGCCAAGAGGUUUGGGCUGGAGGGAAUUUAUGAAGCGACGAAGUCUGUUAUGGGAGACUGCAGCAUGGUGCCUGAUUUUCCUUUGCUUUCCAAAGUGGGUCUUUUCACCAUUAACUUUAAAAACACACACAGAGAAAAAGACCUCAGAGGAAUAAGAAAUCAAAACUUAAACUAUGAGCCAAGGGUCCAUCUUCUUUCUUUUGCACCCUUUUGGUACCAGAAGCUCCAAGGGCAGCCAAGGAAUCUGGCCUGACCUGUACUUUCUCAUGGAAGGUCUGCACUCGGUUCUGGACAAACAAGUCCCCAACAGGAAGUGAAAGCCCACAUCCGUUGUCUUUCUUGAUUUUAUGCAGCACGUGCAAGACACACUCCAGGAGGCUGGUCUCUAAGGGAAGUGUGCGGUUUGCAAGAGUCAACUCCAGAAGAAAACCCCUACUAGAUGCAAGAAGAAUGGGCAUCGCUAACCAGCCCGUUUGCUGAUGUAUGGCCCCUAUACUUUCGUUGGUUUCCUGGUUUCUCUUUGCAGGCAAUUAUUUAACCCUGUGAUGGAACAAAGCAGCCAGGAAGCAGUAGGGUUGGCCGUGGGUUGGGGCUGGAGUCUUAGCAGUCAGCCUGGAGGAGCUGCGGGCUCAUGUCAGCACUCUGGGAGAAAUGAGCAAGCUUUUGGGAGGAGGAAGGCAAAUCCAUCCUCACCCGGGCUGUGAGCAUGCCACUGGGCUCGAGGCGAAUGGGGAGGAAAUCAAAGUGUCAGCUCGUGUUAGGAAACCGCACAUGAUGCUUCCCAGUCCUGGCCGUGCUUUUAAAAAUUAGCCAAAUAAAAAUGGUUGAAG